GUGUGUGUGUGUGUGUGUGUGUGUGUGUGUGUGUGUGUGUGUGUGUGUGUGUGUGUGUGUGUGUGUGUGUGUGUGUGUGUGUGUGUGUGAACGAAUGCUUCCUAAAGCAGAGAAGAAAGACACGAUGCGUUGAUGAUAGGCCCGUAAUUCCGGUUUUAUUCCUUCUUGAACCAACAAGACGGGACACUUAGGAGCAGAAUGCCCUGCGGACACAGCGCCCGGCACUGUUCCUGAAGAAGCCGUUGGAGCAGAAGCAACCCGUGCGGCAAUCGUACGUGCACUUGGUAGGCGGUCUCGGAUUGGCGCAGGUCAGUUCUGCGCAUGUGCUGCUCUGACACUGCUUCAACACCUCGCCCUGGUCGCACCGCGGCGGACUAGGAAAGCCCGGAACCGGCACUGCAAAUGGUGUAAACGCUUGGAUCCAAUGAUAUGCUGCAGUAAAAACUGCAAAGGGACAAGUCUUGCGGGCUCACGUCAGAGCUGUAUCAGUGCUGAAUCAGCCCUGAUGUGAGCCCGGCACACUUCUUCCUACCCUCAAUGCUCAAGAGAAGCCAAAAAAGUCACUGUUUCGACGGCGUUCUUGCCAUCGAACGUGCUGUCACAGUCUGUGAAAGAGGUCACGGCAGCUGACUUUCAGGGAGCCUUUUCAGCAUCAGAAUCGUGUUGUAACCGGUGCAUCGACGCCCGAGGAAGCUAUUUUGACGAAUUUAAAUAAUAUGUACCGAUCGGAUCAAUAAAUUCUUUUUACCAGACCCAGUCUGAUUAACUUA